GGGGAUGUUGCUCAGUGGUAGAGCGCUCGCAUCGCAAGUGAGAGGCCCCGGGUUCAAUCCCCGGCAUCUCCA
rnacentral:tRNA from 1 species